UGGGGUCCUCGCGGCGCAGCGACCACUAGGACUAGGGUAGCCCCAGCCGCCCCCGUGCGCCCAGGACGGUCGGAAGGAAUGGGUGGCAGCGCUCUGCCCAUAGGGACUCUGGUCGUAUUGAGUUUUCAGAAUGGAUCUCUAUCUCUUGGCCACCAGGGUCUCCUGCUGUCCCCCUGCAUGGUGGGACCUGGAAGUGAGGCACUGCCAGGGGACUACCAUCCUGUGCCCACCAACUUGGAGGGGCCACUCCUGGGAUGCCGGCACAUCACAUGGCCACAGUGACCCACAGAAAACCAGCACAGCUGGUGGGGGGAGGGGCCACGCAGAGCCCCCAUCACUGUGGGGUGACCCCAUGAGCCCAAAUGGCCAUCAAGGCCUCUGUGUACCGCUCAGUCCCUGCUUCAAAGUGGCCAAUCUGGGCUGCGUGCACAUUCUCAGUCCUGACUCUGGUGGGAAUUCUGUGCCUCUCCUGGGUCUUGUGCUGUCAUCCACCUUGAGGGUCCACAGGUUCUCGAAGCCCUGCAGUACCCUGGGGCCUGGCCAGGCCUUCCCGCCCGUUCCUCAAGGUCUCAGCACCUGCCUGCCACUCGGCCAAGGCCUGCUGCUCCCUGGUCUGCAGCUUCUCGGUCUUCGCCAUUUCCUCCCGCAGGUGCCCCAUGUCACCCUCCAGCUUCAGCUGCAGACAACAGACCGCGGGAUAGGAGUUGGAGGCCCCCUGCACACCCACUUCAGGAGGUGCCCUCCGAAGCUGCAUCAAAGGGAAUGGAAAUGCACCCCAGAGCAUGCCCCUUGGGCGUGAGAAUUAUUUUGAGCUGGAGGCAGAAAGACACCUUCCGAGGCUCCUGUUAUGUGACUAAAAGCAGAAACUGCUGAGGAAUGAGGGUUGCCACAGGUCCGCCUCCCGGGGGAAGUUUUAUGGCUCUGAAGGAGGUGGAACGUGGGAUACCACUGAUGAACUUUAUCGUUUGUUGGUUUCCCCAAAAUACUUUCUGUUAUGAUCUGAAUGUUCAUGUCCCCCAAAAUUCACAUGUUAAGUCCUAACCCCCAAGGAGAUGGGGCCUUUGGGAGGUGAUGAGGUCAGAAAGGUGGAGCCCUCGGGAAUGGGGCUAGUGGGGAAGAAGGGACUGAGAGCUCCCAGCCCCCUCUUCCAUGUGAGGACAGUGGGAAGUUGGCUGUCUGUGAACUGGGAAGGAGCACCCCCGACCCCUGCCCCGACUGUGCUGGUGCCCUGAUCCUGGACUUCCAGCCUCCAGAGCCAUGAGCAUGAAGACUUGCUGUUUGUAAGCCGCCCAGUCUUGUGUUCUGUGACAACAGCUGGAAUGGACCAAGAUACUUUCCCAGUUGCUGCCCUUGGGAGCCUGUCACCUUUCCCUUUGUCUCUUCUCUCCAAAUGUACUGUUCCUUGUUCAGAUGCUAAACUAAACCACCUAGCCAGCCACA